rnacentral:rRNA from 1 species
AUGAACGCUAGCUACAGGCUUAACACAUGCAAGUCGAGGGGCAGCAUGAACUUAGCUUGCUAAGUUUGAUGGCGACCGGCGCACGGGUGAGUAACACGUAUCCAACCUGCCGAUGACUCGGGGAUAGCCUUUCGAAAGAAAGAUUAAUACCCGAUGGCAUAGUUCUUCCGCAUGGUAGAACUAUUAAAGAAUUUCGGUCAUCGAUGGGGAUGCGUUCCAUUAGGUUGUUGGCGGGGUAACGGCCCACCAAGCCUUCGAUGGAUAGGGGUUCUGAGAGGAAGGUCCCCCACAUUGGAACUGAGACACGGUCCAAACUCCUACGGGUGGCAGCAGUGAGGAAUAUUGGUCAAUGGACGAGAGUCUGAACCAGCCAAGUAGCGUGAAGGAUGACUGCCCUAUGGGUUGUAAACUUCUUUUAUACGGGAAUAAAGUGAGGCACGUGUGCCUUUUUGUAUGUACCGUAUGAAUAAGGAUCGGCUAACUCCGUGCCAGCAGCCGCGGUAAUACGGAGGAUCCGAGCGUUAUCCGGAUUUAUUGGGUUUAAAGGGAGCGUAGGCGGACGCUUAAGUCAGUUGUGAAAGUUUGCGGCUCAACCGUAAAAUUGCAGUUGAUACUGGGUGUCUUGAGUACAGUAGAGGCAGGCGGAAUUCGUGGUGUAGCGGUGAAAUGCUUAGAUAUCACGAAGAACUCCGAUUGCGAAGGCAGCCUGCUGGACUGUAACUGACGCUGAUGCUCGAAAGUGUGGGUAUCAAACAGGAUUAGAUACCCUGGUAGUCCACACAGUAAACGAUGAAUACUCGCUGUUUGCGAUAUACAGUAAGCGGCCAAGCGAAAGCGUUAAGUAUUCCACCUGGGGAGUACGCCGGCAACGGUGAAACUCAAAGGAAUUGACGGGGGCCCGCACAAGCAGUGGAGUAUGUGGUUUAAUUCGAAGCAACGCGAAGAACCUUACCAGGUCUUGACAUCCAACUAACGAGGUAGAGAUACGUCAGGUGCCCUUCGGGGAAAGUAGAGACAGGUGGUGCAUGGUUGUCGUCAGCUCGUGUCGUGAGAUGUUGGGUUAAGUCCCGCAACGAGCGCAACCCCUGUUCUUAGUUACCAGCGAGUUAAGUCGGGAACUCUAAGAAGACUGCCGGUGAUAAAUCGGAGGAAGGUGGGGAUGACGUCAAAUCAUCAUGCCCUUUAUGUCCUGGGCUACACACGUACUACAAUGGGUGUAACAGAGGGAAGCAACACAGCGAUGUGAAGCGAAACCCAAAAAGCACCCCCAGUUCGGAUUGAAGGCUGAAAUUCGCCUUCAUGAAGCCGGAAUUGCUAGUAAUGGCAGGUCAGCAUACUGCCGUGAAUACGUUCCCGGGCCUUGUACACACCGCCCGUCACACCAUGAGAGUUGGGAAUACCCGAAGCCUGUGAGCUAACUGAAAAGAGGCAGCAGUCGAAGGUAGAAUCAAUGAUUGGGGUG